rnacentral:rRNA from 1 species
GAUGAACGCUGGCGGCGUGCUUAACACAUGCAAGUCGAACGGAAAGGCUCCUGCUUGCCGGGGUACUCGAGUGGCGAACGGGUGAGUAACACGUGGGUGAUCUGCCCUGCACUUCGGGAUAAGCCUGGGAAACUGGGUCUAAUACCGGAUAGGACCACAUUUUGGAUGGUGUGGUGGAAAGUUUUUCGGUGUGGGAUGAGCUCGCGGCCUAUCAGCUUGUUGGUGGGGUAAUGGCCUACCAAGGCGUCGACGGGUAGCCGGCCUGAGAGGGUGUACGGCCACAUUGGGACUGAGAGACGGCCCAGACUCCUACGGGAGGCAGCAGUGGGGAAUAUUGCACAAUGGGCGCAAGCCUGAUGCAGCGACGCCGCGUGGGGGAUGACGGCCUUCGGGUUGUAAACUCCUUUCGCUAGGGACGAAGCGCAAGUGACGGUACCUGGAGAAGAAGCACCGGCUAACUACGUG